rnacentral:rRNA from 1 species
UGAGGAAUAUUGGGCAAUGCUCGCAAGGGUGACCCAGCAACGCCGCGUGGAGGAUGAAUGUCGUAAGAUUGUAAACUCCUGUUAGAGGGGAAGAAUAGUACCGGUUGGACCGGUAUAUGACUGUACCCUCAGAGAAAGCCCCGGCUAACUACGUGCCAGCAGCCGCGGUAAUACGUAGGGGGCAAGCGUUGUCCGGAUUUACUGGGUGUAAAGGGCGCGCAGGCGGGAUAAAAAGUCAGUGGUGAAAUCCUACAGCUUAACUGUAGAACUGCCUUUGAUACUUUUAUUCUUGAGUUCGGGAGAGAGAGACGGAAUUCCAGGUGUAGUGGUGAAAUACGUAGAUAUCUGGAAGAACACCAGUUGCGAAGGCGGUCUCUUGGUCCGACACUGACGCUGAGGCGCGAAAGCGUGGGGAGCAAACA